UACGAAGGGGGCUAGCGUUGUUCGGAAUUACUGGGCGUAAAGCGCGCGCAGGCGGCCUUUCAAGUCAGGGGUGAAAGCCCAGAGCUCAACUCUGGAACUGCCUUUGAAACUGUCAGGCUCGAGUACGGGAGAGGUGAGUGGAAUUCCCAGUGUAGAGGUGAAAUUCGUAGAUAUUGGGAAGAACACCGGUGGCGAAGGCGGCUCACUGGCCCGUUUCUGACGCUCAGGCGCGACAGCGUGGGGAUCAAACAGG
rnacentral:rRNA from 1 species